GGGUGAGAGCGACGCGGUGAUCGCGCCGGUUCGUAUCCAUAUCCGCAUCUGGUCUCCAAGGUUCAAAGCCUCUUGUCGAUAGAAUAAUGUAGGUAAGGGAAGUCGGCAAAUUGGAUCCGUAACUUCGGGACAAGGAUUGGCUCUGAGGAUCGGGGCGUGUCGGGCUUGGUCGGGAAGCGGGUCAGUGCCAACGUGCCGGGCCUGGGCGAGGGUCGUGUGUAUUCCUUGGCAGCAAUGUCGGGUUUCUCAUGAUCCGAACUCGGUCCCGUGCCACUUGGCCUCCCGCGGAUCUUCCUUGCUGCGGGUUUUCGACCAAGCAGACCAGGCUGGGCCGCUUCAGGCCCGCGUGGACGGCUCCGAAUCAAUCCCUUCGGCCGCCAUUCAACGGUCAACUCAGAACUGGCACGGACAAGGAGAAUCCGACUGCCUAAUUAAAGCAAAGCAUUGCGAGGGCUCUAGCCGAGUGCUUACGCAAUGUGAUUUCUGCCCAGUGCUCUGAAUGUCAACGUGUAGAAAUUCAAGCAAGCGCGGGUAAACGGCGGGAGUAACUAUGACUCUCUUAAGGUAGCCAAAUGCCUCGUCAUCCAAUUAGUGACGCGCAUGAAUGGAUUAACGAGAUUCUCACUGUCCCUAUCUACUAUCUAGCGAAACCACAGCCAAGGGAACGGGCUUGGAAACAUUAGCGGGGAAAGAAGACCCUGUUGAGCUUGACUCUAGUCU
rnacentral:rRNA from 1 species